rnacentral:rRNA from 1 species
GACGAACGCUGGCGGCGUGCUUAACACAUGCAAGUCGAACGGAAAGGCCCUGCUUGCAGGGUACUCGAGUGGCGAACGGGUGAGUAACACGUGGGUGAUCUGCCCUGCACUUCGGGAUAAGCCUGGGAAACUGGGUCUAAUACCGGAUAGGAGCCAUUUUUAGUGUGAUGGUUGGAAAGUUUUUUCGGUGUAGGAUGAGCUCGCGGCCUAUCAGCUUGUUGGUGGGGUAAUGGCCUACCAAGGCGGCGAUGGGUAGCCGGCCUGAGAGGGUGGACCGCCACAUUGGGACUGAGAGACGGCCCAGAUUGCGACGGGAGGAAGAAGUGGGGAAUAUUGCACAAUGGGCGCAAGGCGGAUGAAGCGACGCCGCGGGGGGGAUGACGGCCUUCGGGUUGUAAACUCCUUUCGCUAGGGACGAAGCUUUUUGUGACGGUACCUAGAUAAGAAGCACCGGCUAACUACGUG